rnacentral:rRNA from 1 species
AGAGUUUGAUCAUGGCUCAGAACGAACGCUGGCGGCGUGCUUAACACAUGCAAGUCGAACGGGAACCCUUGGAUUCGUCUGGGGGGGAGAGUGGCGAACGGGUGAGUAACACGUAGGUGACCUGCCCCAAAGAGGGGAAUAACCACUGGAAACGGUGGCUAAUGCCCCAUGUGCUUGGUGAUUCGUUUCACCAAGGAAAGCUCCGGCGCUUUGGGAGGGGCCUGCGGCCCAUCAGGUAGUUGGUAGGGUAAUGGCCUACCAAGCCGAUGACGGGUAGGGGGCGUGAGAGCGUGAUCCCCCACACUGGCACUGAGAUACGGGCCAGACUCCUACGGGAGGCAGC